AAAUUGUAACCGAUAGCAUCAAACACUUCUUCCAUAUUCGCAAAAACCAAGUGAUCUCCGUGCGUGUUAUAAAACAUUAUCAGCUUCAUAAUCAGGUCUUGCCCAUCCAAUUGGCGGUGAUGGAAAUCUCAGGCAAGAUGAAAUUCAUGACCAUCUGGAAUCUGACGAAUACGACCUAACUGAAGAAACAAAGAAAUCCGAAGAUACUGAAAACGAAAAUGAGGAUGAUGAGAACUCAGGAAAAAAAUUCUGUUCGAAACACCUAAGAGACAUUUUAAUUCUACUAAAUAUGCAGCGAAAUCAAUGUCAUAAUAACCCAAUUCACAAUACUGCAACCUUUAUUCAAAGCUGAACUCAAUCCAGAGGCUCGCAAAAUGAGAAAGAGACGUCCAUCCGAUAUACAAUUUUCGUUACCGCAUUUGCUAUUGACAGUUCGUACCAAGAACUAUCUUCGACUAUCGCCAUUAUUGCUGAAAAAUAUGAACCACUUCUAGCACUACUAGCACCAUGAUCCAAGA